rnacentral:rRNA from 1 species
GGAGCCUACCGGGCGCAGCAGUGGGGAAUAUUGCACAAUGGGGGAAACCCUGAUGCAGCAACGCCGCGUGAGUGAUGACGACCUUCGGGUUGUAAAGCUCGGUCUUCAGGGACGAUAAUGACGGUACCUGAGGAGGAAGCCACGGCUAACUACGUGCCAGCAGCCGCGGUAAUACGUAGGUGGCGAGCGUUGUCCGGAUUUACUGGGCGUAAAGGGAGCGUAGGCGGAUUUUUAAGUGAGAUGUGAAAUACUCGGGCUCAACUUGUGUGCUGC